GUCACGGCCACAGUUCUUCCUGGUAAGAAGCCCCCAGGGGCCAGGCAACAAGAAAAGCGAGCUCAUUCAGCAGGCUGGGAUGUAAAUAAGCCACAAGAGGCUGUGCCAUUCUGGGUUGCACCUGUGAGCAUCGCUCAGCUGAAGCCCCGUCAGCGUUUCCAUGACAAACUCGUAUUUCCGGAUGCCUUUCUUCCAGCUUGAAGAGCCUGCCUAGUGAUGUUCAUCCCUUCUGGAGAGUAAGAAGAAAAAGGACUAGUCACUCCUGUCUGAUGACAACGAGAAACUGAGACAGUGGGGGAAAAAUGAUGUCAUCAGCUGAAAGUGAGAAGCAAGGAGAGCUGCAUGCAGGCCUGAAAAGAAAGGAGGCACGAUGUAGUCAUCUGUCACAGGGAGUAGGAGAGCGACUUGCCUGGGGAAGAUGGUGUAGGAUUGCUGGGCAGCAACAUGGCAGCAGUG